rnacentral:lncRNA from 1 species
AUGUGUUUUGUUUAGGCUGCUCCCAUUUCGCUCGCCGCUACUACGGGAAUCGCUUUUGCUUUCUUUUUCUCUGGCUACUAAGAUGUUUCAGUUCGCCAGGUUGUCUCUUGCCUGCCCAUGGAUUCAGCAGCAGUUCGAAAGGUUGCCCUAUUCGGGAAUCUCCGNNNNNNNNNNNNNNNNNNNNNNNNNNNNNNNNNNNNNNNNNNNNNNNNNNNACGCUUGUAUUGCUCUCCCACAACCCCGUUUUCACGGUUUAGGCUGCUCCCAUUUCGCUCGCCGCUACUACGGGAAUCGCUUUUGCUUUCUUUUUCUCUGGCUACUAAGAUGUUUCAGUUCGCCAGGUUGUCUCUUGCCUGCCCAUGGAUUCAGCAGCUCAUCGAGAUAUUCAAACAGGGAGAGGGCACCCAAGAGGGGGAGUCCCAACUCGUUGACAUGAUUCAUAUAGUAGGUUUGAGGCCGGUGCCCAGCUAAUGUCACUCAGGUACGGAUUCAGUUUGUUAUAGAAAGGCACUAUCUGUAGUUCAUCACAAAUCUAUUUAUCUGGUUGCAUUCUUUGUUUGUUUUUCUAUUUAUGGGAGUGCUUCAUGAUUUGCACUCUGUCUAUGUGAUUAUUCGGUUGGGAAGUUUUAUGAGUGCUACUCGUGUCUAUCAUCUGUUUUAGCCAUUGUCGAGAGUUAUGAGGCAAGUAGUAUUUUUCUUUUGUCUGUUCUGGUAGGCUUGAUGUGAUUUUCGAGCAUUCUUGGUUACGAGCUGUGAUGUUUAUGCUCCACCGGUGUGGGAGCUAGUCUAUGUUGUAAAUUGUAGAUGGAAUUGAUCUAGUGAGAGUCUCUAGAUGGGUUGAUUUGUACCCUACUUGUUAUCCAGUGUUGAGGGUGAGACCCUCGUGAUAUCAGGUGAUUUGAUAUGUUGAGACCUGGCUGUGUACUGCGGUGAGAGUUAUAUCAGUAUAAGAUCCUUGUGAGUCCAUUAUAUAGUUUCAUUCUUUCUUGUUAGAUGUCUUGCAGAUUUGUGUUUUAGAAGAAUUUUGUGCUAGUUUAAUUUGUUUGUUAGUUCUCUUAUGUAUUUCUUUUCCCAUAUUUAUUCAUUUUCGUUCUAUGCUCCUUGAGUUUUAGUUUUGGGGUGUAUAACCGUUGGUGUUGGCUGAGAUUUGGUUAGUCGCGUGUUUCGUCAUGUGGUUUUUGUGGUUGUUGUAACAUCUCCAGUGUUAUAGGUGGUUGAAAAGAGUUCUUAUGGAAUAUAAGGAUUAUGACCGGUACAGAUUUGAUUUCAGGCAAUUGCUAUCAGAAAUAUUAUUGUAGGACUAUGUGUGGUAUGUCAUGUUGUGUGGCUGUACCCUGUGUGUGUUGGCUUGUGUUGAAUUAGCUGAUUGAGACUGAUAUCAGAUAUGGACUUGGGAUCGGGUCUUUUUGAAAUGGAUGGAGGUUGAGAUAUUUGGCUUGAAGGCUUAAUGGUAUUGCUAGAAGGGUUAAAUUUCAGUUGAGAUCGUAUCGUCAUGCCAAAGUGGAUUAGGGUGACCUGGGGUUACCCACGGGUGUAUGUUGGAAUUUCGCACUCAGUGACUUGAGAACUUCAAGGUGAAUCUUAGCAAGUUCGAGGACGAAUGUUGGUUUUAAGAGGGGGAGGAUGUAACGACCCGACCAGUCGGUUUGAGAAAUUAAGCUCUAUUCAGCGACAUAAGGUCUAGAGCAGCUUCGGAACACGAGUAUCGACUUGCGUGUAUGGUGGAAUUCAGUUUUCGGAUGGUUUAGAGUCAAUUUUAGAGGAGAAACCUUAUUUUGGAAGUUAGAACAUUAAAAAUUUAAUCGGAACUGGACUUUUGGGUAAACGACCCCGGAAUGGGUCGGGGAUGAUCUCAAUAGCAUCUUAUGGUGAUUUUGGACUUAGGCUCACGUCCGGAUUCAACUUUGGAGGUCCGUAGAGUAAAUUGAGGCAUUUCGGCGAAAGUUGUAGUUAGAAAAUGAAGAAAUUUGACCCACAGUUGACUUUUGGGAAAUCGAGGUCAGAAUGUAAUUCCGGGAGUUAGAACAGCUCCAUUAUGUCAUUUUUGACUUGUAUGCAAAAUUUGGCGCCAUUCCGAGUUGAAUUGAUAGGUUUUGGCAUGAGUUUUGUUAUUUGAAGAUUUGAAAGUUCAUAAGCUUGAUUUUUGGUUCGAUUCGUCGUUUCGAUGUUGUUUUAGGUUAUUUGAAGCUUCGAGCGAGUCCGUGUUAGGUUAUGUGACUUGUACGUGUGAUUAGACGGGGUCGCGGAGGCCUCGGGUAUGUUUCGGAUGGGCUACAGAUCCUUUGACCUCCACUUUGAACUGUUGAACUGCUGCUUCUAAUAUUCUUCUACGCGAUCACGAAGCUUCUCCCGCGAUCACGUUGCUUUGUUGAAGACAACCUCGAAAUCCUUCUUCGCGAUCGCAUCCUUCCCUUCGCGAUCGCGAUGCCCCACAUCUCUCUUCUUCGCGAUCGCGAAGUUCUGUGAAUUUCUUCAUCGCGUUCGUAUCAAGCUUCCCGCGAUCACGAUGGUCUAAUCAUCUUCACUUCGUGGUCGCAUCCCUGGUCUCGCGUUCGUGAUGAGAUAUCUGGGCAGUCUUGAAAUUACUUCUACGCAAUCGCGACCCUUCUCCCACGAUCGCGAUGCACAAAUACCUGGGCAGACAGAUUUAAUUCCCAAAUCCGAGGGUUUCACCAUUUAUUCACAUUUUGACUUCUAGGGCACAGUUCUUGGCGAGUUUUGAAGGGAUUUUCACUUGGAAAACAUGGGUAAGUGUUUUUCACUCGAUUUAUGCCAACUUCCAUGAAUCUCCUCUUAGUUUCAUCUUUUAAUUUCAGUUUUUGAACGAAAAAUGGGUAGAACUUCAUAGAUCAAAUUGUUGGGUUUUGAGGGAGUGUUUGACCUUUGAUUUGAGAUAUUUUAUAUGGAUAGACUCGUGAGAGUAUGGGAGUUCUGAAAAUGUUAAAUUCAUCCAGUUCCUAGAUGUUGGCCCGGGGGACAUUUUGGUCAUUUUAUCUAAUUUCGCGCUUUUGCUUUGAAUUAAACUAUAGAAUAAGUUGCUUGAGAUGUUAAUUGUGAUGUGUUAUUUAAUUGAAUAGAUUUGGAGUCGAGAAUGCAUGGCAAGAACGUGGUUGCUAGGUUAUUUUAGCCAGUUUUGAGGUAAGUAUCUUUCCUAACCUUGUGUGGGGGACUUCCCCUUAGGAUUUGAGUCCUCUCUGUUGAUUGCAUUCUGUGUACGGGAGGUGACGAGUGCGUGCUCGGAUUUAUUUAUGGUAAAUUUUCCCUUUUAGGCUAUUAGACUUGGAAACCACCGAGCAUGAAGAUGAUAUUGAUACGAUUGAGUUACCUGUUAUUAGUUUCACUUCUACAUGUCAUAGUUGAUAUUUGUUUGCCCUUCUUGAUUUAUUUCUACUAUUAAAUGGACUUUUACGUGUUUAACUAAAGGCAAGUACCCUUCUAUAGUCAUAAUACCCGCCCUAACUACUCACCUUUAAUUGGAAAUCAUAAAUGUUGUAUCUCAUGUAAUUAAUCGGUCUUAAUUGGAAGGAAUAUAGAUAUUUUAUGAUUAAUUGAUAUUUCCUUAAAUGGAAAUUUUUUGAUUCGUGUUAACUUUCUUACUAUCGGAUACUCCUUGAUUGUAAGUUCAUCUGUAACUUAAUGCAAUUAUAUUACCUGUCCAACUGUUGUGGUAUCGGUGUAGUUAUUAUGUACUUAUUAUGUCUUGUUUUGUCGUUGAGGUUAUUGUACUUUUCCUUGGUGUUCUCUGGCCUUAGUAGGUAUUGUUGAAUUCCCUUGCCGGGACGUUAUUGUUUCUAUUGUUGAUUCCCUUGCCGGGAUGUUAUUGGUUCUGUCGUUGAUUCCCUUGCCUGGACAUUAUUGUUUCCAUUGUUGAUUCCCUUGCUUUGCUCUUGUACAUAUAUUGUCAUUUAUUGAGCAGCUAUUGGUACUGUGAUGCACGAGGUCUCUGCCGUGCGGUUAUUGUUGGAGAGUUGCACGAGGUCUUUGCCUUGUUAUUGUUGCUAUUGAUGUUUUUGCACAUGCGGCGUAAUAAGGCGGGAUAUGUUAUAUGCUUAUAUGUGAAUUGCACAUGUGGCGGAAUAAGGUGGGAAUAUUGUGAAGCACGUGUGGCAAAAUAAGUCGGUGCUUAUUACAUUAUUAUUGGUUGCACACGUGGCAAAAUAAGGAGGGCUAUGUCAGUGGCUGAUUCUGGUGAAUUGUGAAGGCCCGGGGAGGCAUUUUUCCUAUUUUUAUUUACUAUAUAGAUAUGACGGACUACGGGCCCCGAUUCCCGGGAGAUCCUCUGUCAUUGGUAUGAUGGACUACGGGUUCAAUUCCCGGGAGAUCCUCUGAUAUUGGUAUGAUGGACUACAUGUUCGAUUUUCGGAGUUCCGCGUUAAACUCAUUGUGUUCUGAACUGAUAUUUCCAUUGAUUCUAUUUGGGUGUGAAUAAAUCAGGUGCUAGUCGUUCCAUUCUUAUACUUACUAGUUUGUAGGAUUCCUGUUAGAUACACUUGCACAAGCAUACACGUUGUUGAACCCUCCUAUUAGAGAUGAGUCCCUUCUGAUCUGGCUAGGGGUAGGUAUAUGCCUUCGUUUACCCAUUAUAUAUGUGAGAGUGACCCUAGUUGACUAGUUAGUUGUCAGCAUGACCGUNNNNNNNNNNNNNNNNNNNNNNNNNNNNNNNNNNNNNNNNNNNNNNNNNNNNNNNNNNNNNNNNNNNNNNNNNNNNNNNNNNNNNNNNNNNNNNNNNNNNNNNNNNNNNNNNNNNAUAUUUUUCCAUUUGUUAUUGAUGGGGCACAAGAUGCCAAGUGUUAGACUUCAGACGCUGGGUUUUUAUGAGUUGUGGCUGGUCUGAGAGUUUGUGAUACAAUUGUGGAAAGAGUUGGAAAGACCCUAUGUAAGAAUCAUUGCAGAAUAAUGACUUAGUGACUUGUUUGUCCUUGUUGUGUUGUGACUUCAGGAUUUGGAUUGUGAUUUCUGACGUCAUUUUCUUGAAUGGUUAUUAUAAAGACCCUAUGUAAGAAUCAUUGCAGAAUAAUGACUUAGUGACUUGUUUGUCCUUGUUGUGUUGUGACUUCAGGAUUUGGAUUGUGAUUUCUUCCAUCAUUUUCAUAUUACUAUUUAUUUUAUUCUCGUUGUUACUUAUCGUCCGUUAGACUUAUUAUGAUUUGUAUUAUUUUUACUCAUCCGUGCAGUCUGUACAUAUUUACAUAUCAUCUUUAUAUUUAUGUUAUAGUGUUUAUUGACCGGUAGGUGUCUCGACUGUUCCUCGUCACUACUCCAUCGAGGUUAGUCUUGAUUUUUACAUAUUUACAUAUCAUCUCUAUUAUUUCCGUUAUACUAUUUAUUGACCGGUAAGUGUCUUGACUAUUCCUCGUCACUACUCCACCGAGGUUAGUCUUGAUACUUACUGGGCAUAACCGUGGUGUGCUCAUGCUACUCUUCUGCACACUUUUUGUUGUGCAGAUUCAAGUACUCCCAUUCAAAUCUAUCGGCCUUGGAAGGAGGCAUAUCGGUGGAGACUUCAAAUUAUAUCUGCUACGUCCACAGACCAAGGAGUCCCCUUUCCAG